rnacentral:rRNA from 1 species
AGAUGGUGAGGUAACGGCUCACCAUAGCAAUGAUGUCUAGGGGUUUUGAGAGGAAGGCCCCCCACACUGGGACUGAGACACGGCCCAGACUCCUACGGGAGGCAGCAGUGAGGAAUAUUGGACAAUGGAUGGAAAUCUGAUCCAGCCAUGCCGCGUGCAGGAAGACGGCCUUAUGGGUUGUAAACUGCUUUUAUACGGGAGCAAUAAGGGUUACGAGUAAUCCGAUGAGAGUACUGUAUGAAUAAGGAUCGGCUAACUCCGUGCCAGCAGCCGCGGUAAUACGGAGGAUCCGAGCGUUAUCCGGAAUUAUUGGGUUUAAAGGGUGCGUAGGCGGCCAUUUAAGUCAGCGGUGAAAUUUUGCAGCUCAACUGUAACAGUGCCGUUGAUACUGUUUGGCUAGGAUUUGGUUGUAGUGUGCGGAAUGUGUGGUGUAGCGGUGAAAUGCUUAGAUAUCACACAGAACACCGAUUGCGAAGGCAGCACACUAAGUCAUUAUUGACGCUGAGGCACGAAAGUGUGGGGAUCAAACAGGAUUAGAUACCCUGGUAGUCCACACUGUAAACGAUGAUAACUCGCUGUCGGCGAUACACAGUC